UGGGGAAUAUUGGACAAUGGGCGCAAGCCUGAUCCAGCCAUGCCGCGUGAGUGAUGAAGGUCUUAGGAUUGUAAAGCUCUUUCACCGGAGAAGAUAAUGACGGUAUCCGGAGAAGAAGCCCCGGCUAACUUCGUGCCAGCAGCCGCGGUAAUACGAAGGGGGCUAGCGUUGUUCGGAAUUACUGGGCGUAAAGCGCACGUAGGCGGAUAUUUAAGUCAGGGGUGAAAUCCCAGAGCUCAACUCUGGAACUGCCUUUGAUACUGGGUAUCUUGAGUAUGGAAGAGGUAAGUGGAAUUCCGAGUGUAGAGGUGAAAUUCGUAGAUAUUCGGAGGAACACCAGUGGCGAAGGCGGCUUACUGGUCCAUUACUGACGCUGAGGUGCGAAAGCGUGGGGAGCAAACAGG
rnacentral:rRNA from 1 species